rnacentral:rRNA from 1 species
GCAUAUCAAUAAGCGGAGGAAAAGAAACCAACAGGGAUUGCCCCAGUAACGGCGAGUGAAGCGGCAACAGCUCAAAUUUGAAAUCUGGCCCCUAGGGCCCGAGUUGUAAUUUGCAGAGGAUGCUUUUGGCGAGGUGCCUUCCGAGUUCCCUGGAACGGGACGCCAUAGAGGGUGAGAGCCCCGUCUGGUUGGAUACCGAGCCUCUGUAAAGCUCCUUCGACGAGUCGAGUAGUUUGGGAAUGCUGCUCUAAAUGGGAGGUAUAUGUCUUCUAAAGCUAAAUACCGGCCAGAGACCGAUAGCGCACAAGUAGAGUGAUCGAAAGAUGAAAAGCACUUUGAAAAGAGGGUUAAACAGUACGUGAAAUUGUUGAAAGGGAAGCGUUUAUGACCAGACUUGGACCCGGUGAAUCAUCCAGCGUUCUCGCUGGUGCACUUUGCCGGGCUCAGGCCAGCAUCAGUUUGUCCCGGGGGAUAAAGGCUUAGGGAAUGUGGCUCCUCCGGGAGUGUUAUAGCCCUCUGCAUAAUACCCUGGGGCGGACUGAGGUUCGCGCAUCUGCAAGGAUGCUGGCGUAAUGGUCAUCAACGACCCGUCUUGAAACACGGACCAAGGAGUCGUCUUCGUAUGCGAGUGUUCGGGUGUCAAACCCCUACGCGUAAUGAAAGUGAACGCAGGUGAGAGCUUCGGCGCAUCAUCGACCGAUCCUGAUGUUCUCGGAUGGAUUUGAGUAAGAGCAUACGGGGCCGGACCCGAAAGAAGGUGAACUAUGCCUGUAUAGGGUGAAGCCAGAGGAAACUCUGGUGGAGGCUCGCAGCGGUUCUGACGUGCAAAUCGAUCGUCAAAUAUGGGCAUGGGGGCGAAAGACUAAUCGAACCUUCUAG